rnacentral:rRNA from 1 species
GACGAACUUUGGCGGCGUGCUUAACACAUGCAAGUCGAACGGAAAGGCCCUGCUUUUGUGGGGUGCUCGAGUGGCGAACGGGUGAGUAACACGUGAGUAACCUGCCCUUGACUUUGGGAUAACUUCAGGAAACUGGGGCUAAUACCGGAUAGGAGCUCCUGCUGCAUGGUGGGGGUCGGAAAGUUUCGGCGGUUGGGGAUGGACUCGCGGCUUAUCAGCUUGUUGGUGGGGUAGUGGCUUACCAAGGCUUUGACGGGUAGCCGGCCUGAGAGGGUGACCGGCCACAUUGGGACUGAGAUACGGCCCAGACUCCUGCGGGAGGCAGCAGUGGGGAAUAUUGCACAAUGGGCGGAAGCCUGAUGCAGCAACGCCGCGUGCGGGAUGACGGCCUUCGGGUUGUAAACCGCUUUCGCCUGUGACGAAGCGUGAGUGACGGUAAUGGGUAAAGAAGCACCGGCUAACUACGUGCCAGCAGCCGCGGUGAUACGUAGGGUGCGAGCGUUGUCCGGAUUUAUUGGGCGUAAAGGGCUCGUAGGUGGUUGAUCGCGUCGGAAGUGUAAUCUUGGGGCUUAACCCUGAGCGUGCUUUCGAUACGGGUUGACUUGAGGAAGGUAGGGGAGAAUGGAAUUCCUGGUGGAGCGGUGGAAUGCGCAGAUAUCAGGAGGAACACCAGUGGCGAAGGCGGUUCUCUGGGCCUUUCCUGACGCUGAGGAGCGAAAGCGUGGGGAGCGAACAGGCUUAGAUACCCUGGUAGUCCACGCUGUAAACGGUGGGUACUAGGUGUGGGGUCCAUUCCACGGGUUCCGUGCCGUAGCUAACGCUUUAAGUACCCCGCCUGGGGAGUACGGCCGCAAGGCUAAAACUCAAAGGAAUUGACGGGGCCCCGCACAAGCGGCGGAGCAUGCGGAUUAAUUCGAUGCAACGCGUAGAACCUUACCUGGGUUUGACAUGGAUCGGGAGUGCUCAGAGAUGGGUGUGCCUCUUUUGGGGUCGGUUCACAGGUGGUGCAUGGCUGUCGUCAGCUCGUGUCGUGAGAUGUUGGGUUAAGUCCCGCAACGAGCGCAACCCUUGUUCACUGUUGCCAGCACGUUAUGGUGGGGACUCAGUGGAGACCGCCGGGGUCAACUCGGAGGAAGGUGGGGAUGACGUCAAGUCAUCAUGCCCCUUAUGUCCAGGGCUUCACGCAUGCUACAAUGGCUGGUACAGAGAGUGGCGAGCCUGUGAGGGUGAGCGAAUCUCGGAAAGCCGGUCUCAGUUCGGAUUGGGGUCUGCAACUCGACCUCAUGAAGUCGGAGUCGCUAGUAAUCGCAGAUCAGCAACGCUGCGGUGAAUACGUUCCCGGGGCU